GUGGGGAAUUUUGGACAAUGGGCGAAAGCCUGAUCCAGCCAUGCCGCGUGCAGGAUGAAGGCCUUCGGGUUGUAAACUGCUUUUGUACGGAACGAAAAGACUCCUUCUAAUAAAGGGGGUCCAUGACGGUACCGUAAGAAUAAGCACCGGCUAACUACGUGCCAGCAGCCGCGGUAAUACGUAGGGUGCAAGCGUUAAUCGGAAUUACUGGGCGUAAAGCGUGCGCAGGCGGUUAUAUAAGACAGAUGUGAAAUCCCCGGGCUCAACCUGGGAACUGCAGUUGUGACUGUAUAGCUAGAGUACGGUAGAGGGGGAUGGAAUUCCGCGUGUAGCAGUGAAAUGCGUAGAUAUGCGGAGGAACACCGAUGGCGAAGGCAAUCCCCUGGACCUGUACUGACGCUCAUGCACGAAAGCGUGGGGAGCAAACAGGAUUAGAUACCCGAGUAGUCC
rnacentral:rRNA from 1 species